CCUGAGCAACUAUCGAUAUGUCUACUAAGAAAUGUAAUUAUAAUGAAAGCACAGUGCUAAUAUAGUUGCAGUGCUGAUUCUGAGAUAAUAAAAGUCAGGUUGAAGAACGUUGUUUUGCUAACCAUACAUGUAAUGUUAGCUAGGUCUGACGUUAUCUGUGUAAAGUAGGCUACAAAAGCCAAGAUUGAUUCUGUAAAACACUGAAAUCACUUUGAAUCUUACAGACAUGAAGAGGAAAGGUAGCAUUUGCAGUUUUUUCUCGCCAAAGAGAAAGACGACAGAAAUAGAAAAUGAACAAUUGAGCAAGGGUGAUAGAGAAGAUGUGGAAGGAGAGAGAAAGGCAACAGAAAUGUGAUGAAAUACAAGCCCAUGGUGAGCAGGGACAGGAGGAGGUUGGAGAAGAGAAGGAGGAGGGAGAGCAUCACCAAGAUGAUAUGCAGGGUUCAAACAGUGAAAGGGAAAGGAGAGUUCCUGAUCCAUCACCAACCAUCUCCAGUCCAGCUGCUCCUCAUGAUGUAUCCAAGUCCAGGUGUGAGGUUCCAGUGCAGCCAAUGCCAGACAGUUUCCCUCCAGGGAGGAGCCAGAAGAAGCUUCUGCAGCGACUGGUACAAAUUUCAUCCCUGGUUAGAAAACUCACAAUCAAAAGAUGCAGCUUACUGUUUUGCAUGUCGGCAUUUUUCCGUCCCAGAUGCUCCAAAGACUGUUUUCAGCUCAUUCGAGGGUUAUCACAACUGGAAAAAGGCUACCGUGAAAGACAAUGGUUUCUGUUCUCAUGCCAGAUCUGAAGGACAUGUAAAUGCAAUGUUUGCAUGGACAGAGAACAAGAAAAUUCAGGAUAAAAAUACCUCAAUGUUUGGACUAAUGGAUGAGCAAAAAAAGAAGCAGGUGGCUGAAAAUCAGUACUACAUUAGAACAUUAGCUGAAAUUUUACUUCUAACAGCCACAGAAAACACAGGGGGUCACAGGGAGUCUCUCAACUCCAAAAAAAAGGGUGUUUUUCUGUCUAUGUUAGACUUGCUGGGUAACCAUAACCCCAUCAUUAAAAAAAUACUUCAACAACAAGCUAAAAAUGUAAAAUAUACCAGUAAAACAAUGCAGAAUGAAUUACUUGAGUGCUUGGCUGCAAUGGUCAAAGAGGAAAUCAUCCAGGAAGUUAAAACAAGCAAGCAGUUUUCAGUUACUGUUGAUGAAACUAAAGAUGUUCAGAAAAAAGAACAAAUGUCGUUUGUUCUGAGAUAGUUUUACAACAGUGUGGUUCAUGAGAGCUUUCUGGAGUUUGAUGUGGCAGAACACCCUGAUGCUGCUGCCUUAAGUGACAAGAUUAUAUGCUUCUUUGAGAAGCAGGGGCUGGAGUCCAAGGAAAACCUUGUAGACCAGGACUACGAUGGUGCAGCAGUGAUGCACAUGCAGGUGUUGAAGCAAAAAUAAAAGAAGUAGCUAAACAUGCCUUCUAUGUUCACUGUAGUGCACACUGCUUGAACCUAGUUCUAGCAGACGCUGUAAAAAGUGUAGCAGAUGCAGGAAACUUCUUCUCAUUAUUGGAACGACUGUAUGUAUUCAUGUCUGGCUCAUAUGUAUAGAACAAAUGGCUGGAAGUGCAGCGGGAGAUGUUUGAUGGUGCACCAAGGGAGCUCCAACAGCUAAGUGAUGCAUGUUGCUGAAAAAAGUUUAAAAUGUGACACUAGUGUAAAUGGUGUAAAUCCUGCUGAACAGGAAGCAGUAUUGUUAUUGUUUUUUAAUGUCUCUUUUGUAUAUACAUUAUAAAACUGUACAGAAAGGCCCUGUAUGAACUCUGUGAAGUAAAUACAACAUCAAAAUAAUCACUAAACACCUCAGCUAUCCAAAAAAAUGUUCAAACUACAGAGGGAGAAAUGGAGAGAAUGUGUGUUCUCAGUAUAGAAUAAAAGUGAUGUCCAGUAGCUUG